UCGGGAAUUUUGGGCAAUGGGCGAAAGCCUGACCCAGCAACGCCGCGUGAAGGAUGAAGUAUUUCGGUAUGUAAACUUCGUAAGAAUAGGAAGAAUAAAUGACGGUACUAUUUGUAAGGUCCGGCUAACUACGUGCCAGCAGCCGCGGUAAUACGUAGGGACCAAGCGUUGUUCGGAUUUACUGGGCGUAAAGGGCGCGUAGGCGGUUUGUCAAGUCAGUUGUGAAAUCUCCGAGCUUAACUCGGAACGGUCAACUGAUACUGUCAAACUAGAGUACAGAAGGGGCAAUCGGAAUUCUUGGUGUAGCGGUGAAAUGCGUAGAUAUCAAGAGGAACACCUGAGGCGAAGGCGGGUUGCUGGGCUGAUACUGACGCUGAAGCGCGAAAGCUAGGGUAGCAAACGGGAUUAGAUACCCAGGUAGUCCCUGAGCGGGCUGGCAAGGCGCAU
rnacentral:rRNA from 1 species